GCCUCGGCGGUGUCUUGCUUCGGCGAGCCCGCCAGAGGACCCAACAAACUCUUGUUUUUUUAGUAUUAUCUGAGUGACAAGUUUAAUAAAUCAAAACUUUCAACAACGGAUCUCUUGGUUCUGGCAUCGAUGAAGAACGCAGCGAAAUGCGAUAAGUAAUGUGAAUUGCAGAAUUCAGUGAAUCAUCGAAUCUUUGAACGCACAUUGCGCCCGCCAGUAUUCUGGCGGGCAUGCCUGUUCGAGCGUCAUUUCAACCCUCAAACCCCCGGGUUUGGUGUUGGAGAUCGACAUGAAGCCCUUCUGGGUGUGAAGUCGUCUCCCAAAUAUAGUGGCGGUCUCGCUGUAGCUUCCUAUGCGUAGUAGCACACCUCGCACUGGAAAGCAGCAAGCCCACGCCGUUAAACCCCCCACUUUCUGAGUUUGACCUCGAAUCAGGUAGGAUUACCCGCUGAACUUAAGCAUAUCAAUAAGCGGAGGAAAAGAAACCAACAGGGAUUGCCCUAGUAACGGCGAGUGAAGCGGCAACAGCUCAAAUUUGAAAUCUGGCCCUCGGGUCCGAGUUGUAAUUUGUAGAGGAUGCUUUUGGUGAGGUACCUUCCGAGUUCCCUGGAACGGGACGCCAUAGAGGGUGAGAGCCCCGUCUGGUUGGAUACCGAUCCUCUGUAAAGCUCCUUCAACGAGUCGAGUAGUUUGGGAAUGCUGCUCUAAAUGGGAGGUAUAUGUCUUCUAAAGCUAAAUAUUGGCCAGAGACCGAUAGCGCACAAGUAGAG
rnacentral:rRNA from 1 species